ACAGAUUCUAACAACAAUAAUGAUGACGGAGGAUUUCUACCAGAUGGUGUAUAUGAUAAAGAAACGAAGAUAGAGUAUUGUUGUCAAACUGAUGGUAACUGGUAUGAUUCAAUUGAACUGCCAGUCAGUCAACCAUUUUAUUUAUUAUCAUCUAGCUCUACUGACACUCCUAAAUGUCAGAUGGUGAAGUGGGCACUUAGUUACUUGGAGUAUAUUGUGUUUGAUACAGAAGAUAGCAACAAUAGAGAUAACCAGGGAGGGGAACAUUUGUUUUUGGAUGGAGACAAGAAAUACUAUUGUUACUAUGAAG